rnacentral:rRNA from 1 species
AUUGAACGCUGGCGGCAGGCCUAACACAUGCAAGUCGAGCGGUAACAGGAAGAAGCUUGCUUCUUUGCUGACGAGUGGCGGACGGGUGAGUAAUGUCUGGGAAACUGCCUGAUGGAGGGGGAUAACUACUGGAAACGGUAGCUAAUACCGCAUAACGUCGCAAGACCAAAGAGGGGGACCUUCGGGCCUUUUGCCAUCGGAUGUGCCCAGAUGGGAUUAGCUAGUAGGUGGGGUAACGGCUCACCUAGGCGACGAUCCCUAGCUGGUCUGAGAGGAUGACCAGCCACACUGGAACUGAGACACGGUCCAGACUCCUACGGGAGGCAGCAGUGGGGAAUAUUGCACAAUGGGCGCAAGCCUGAUGCAGCCAUGCCGCGUGUAUGAAGAAGGCCUUCGGGUUGUAAAGUACUUUCAGCGGGGAGGAAGGGAGUAAAGUUAAUACCUUUGCUCAUUGACGUUACCCGCAGAAGAAGCACCGGCUAACUCCGUG